UACGUAGGGCGCAAGCGUUGUUCGGAAUUACUGGGCGUAAAGGGCGCGUAGGCGGCCUUCUAAGUCGAACGUGAAAUCCCUGGGCUCAACCCAGGAACUGCGUCCGAUACUGGAAGGCUUGAAUCCGGGAGAGGGAUGCGGAAUUCCAGGUGUAGCGGUGAAAUGCGUAGAUAUCUGGAGGAACACCGGUGGCGAAGGCGGCAUCCUGGACCGGUAUUGACGCUGAGGCGCGAAAGCCAGGGGAGCAAACGGG
rnacentral:rRNA from 1 species